UACGUAGGGGGCAAGCGUUGUCCGGAAUCAUUGGGCGUAAAGAGCGUGUAGGCGGCCCGGUAAGUCCGCUGUGAAAGUCCGGGGCUCAACCCUGGGAUGCCGGUGGAUACUGUCGGGCUCGAGUCCGGAAGAGGAGUGUGGAAUUCCUGGUGUAGCGGUGAAAUGCGCAGAUAUCAGUCGGAACACCCGUGGCGAAGGCGGCUUCUUGGGCCGUUCCUGACGCUGAUGCGCGAAAGCUAGGGGAGCGAACGGG
rnacentral:rRNA from 1 species